rnacentral:rRNA from 1 species
AUUGAACGCUGGCGGCAUGCUUUACACAUGCAAGUCGAACGGUAACAGGGAGCUUGCUCCGCUGACGAGUGGCGAACGGGUGAGUAAUGCGUCGGAACGUGCCGAGUAGUGGGGGAUAACGCAUCGAAAGGUGUGCUAAUACCGCAUACGUACUGAGGUAGAAAGUGGGGGACCUUCGGGCCUCACGCUAUUCGAGCGACCGACGGCUGAGUAGCUAGUUGGUGAGGUAAAGGCUCACCAAGGCGACGAUCAGUAGCGGGUCUGAGAGGAUGAUCCGCCACACUGGGACUGAGACACGGCCCAGACUCCUACGGGAGGCAGCAGUGGGGAAUUUUGGACAAUGGGCGCAAGCCUGAUCCAGCCAUGCCGCGUGUCUGAAGAAGGCCUUCGGGUUGUAAAGGACUUUUGUCCGGGAGCAAAUGCCUGGUGUUAAUAGCACUGGGAGCUGAGAGUACCGGAAGAAUAAGCACCGGCUAACUACGUGCCAGCAGCCGCGGUAACAC